AACGAACGCUGGCGGCAUGCCUAACACAUGCAAGUCGAACGAGACCUUCGGGUCUUGUGGCGCACGGCUGCGUAACGCCUGGGAACUUGCCCUUAGGUUCGCAAUACCUCCCCGAAAGGGGUCCUCAUACCGGUUAAUGUCUUCGGACCAAGGAUUUCUUGCGUUUGGGUGGGCCCGCGUUGGAUUCGCUAGUUGGUAGGGUAAAAGCCUACCAAGGCGAGGAUCCAGAGCUGGUCGGUGAAGAUGAUCAGCCACACUGGGGCUGCGACACGGCCCAGACUCCUACGGGAGGGAGCGGUGGGGAGUACAGUACAAUGGGCGAAAGCCUGAUCCAGCAGUGCCGGGUAAGUGAGGAAGGCCGUAGGGUUGUAAAGCUCUUUUACCCGGGAUGAUAAUGACGGUACCGGGAGAAGAAGCUCCGGCUAACUCCGUG
rnacentral:rRNA from 1 species